CUGUUUAUCUUAUUUAAGGGGUUUGCUCUGCUCAGAUUGAACGCUGGCGGCAGGCCUAACACAUGCAAGUCGAGCGGAUGAGUGGAGCUUGCUCCAUGAUUCAGCGGCGGACGGGUGAGUAAUGCCUAGGAAUCUGCCUGGUAGUGGGGGAUAACGUUUCGAAAGGAACGCUAAUACCGCAUACGUCCUACGGGAGAAAGUGGGGGAUCUUCGGACCUCACGCUAUCAGAUGAGCCUAGGUCGGAUUAGCUAGUUGGUGGGGUAAUGGCCCACCAAGGCGACGAUCCGUAACUGGUCUGAGAGGAUGAUCAGUCACACUGGAACUGAGACACGGUCCAGACUCCUACGGGAGGCAGCAGUGGGGAAUAUUGGACAAUGGGCGAAAGCCUGAUCCAGCCAUGCCGCGUGUGUGAAGAAGGUCUUCGGAUUGUAAAGCACUUUAAGUUGGGAGGAAGGGCAGUAAGUUAAUACCUUGCUGUUUUGACGUUACCAACAGAAUAAGCACCGGCUAACUUCGUGCCAGCAGCCGCGGUAAUACGAAGGGUGCAAGCGUUAAUCGGAAUUACUGGGCGUAAAGCGCGCGUAGGUGGUUCAGCAAGUUGGAUGUGAAAGCCCCGGGCUCAACCUGGGAAUUGCAUCCAAAACUACUGAGCUAGAGUACGGUAGAGGGUGGUGGAAUUUCCUGUGUAGCGGUGAAAUGCGUAGAUAUAGGAAGGAACACCAGUGGCGAAGGCGACCACCUGGACUGAUACUGACACUGAGGUGCGAAAGCGUGGGGAGCAAACAGGAUUAGAUACCCUGGUAGUCCACGCCGUAAACGAUGUCGACUAGCCGUUGGGAUCCUUGAGAUCUUAGUGGCGCAGCUAACGCGAUAAGUCGACCCGCCUGGGAGACCCCAGA
rnacentral:rRNA from 1 species